rnacentral:rRNA from 1 species
UACAGAGUUCCCAAGCGUUGUUCGGAUUCACUGGGCGUAAAGGGUGCGUAGGCGGCCCUCUUUGUCGCGUGUGAAAGCCCCGGGCUCAACCUGGGAACGGCGCGCGAAACGGGGGGGCUGGAGUUCGGGAGAGGAGCGUGGAAUUCCCAGUGUAGAGGUGAAAUUCGUAGAUAUUGGGAAGAACACCGGUGGCGAAGGCGGCGCUCUGGACCGAGACUGACGCUGAGGCGCGAAAGCGUGGGGAGCAAACAGG